UUCAAUGAAUUGGAGAAGAGGCCUAACUGUUUUUCCCUCUUCUAUCUUCUCUUGCUCUCACUCUCUCUGCUUGAAGUUCCUUUGGCUGGGUUCACACUAUCUCUGAUUGAAGUUCCUUUUGCUGCUUGAAGUCUCAGUAGCUUCUCGACACAUAGUACUCCAUUUUCAACCAUCGGAUCGUCGAAAGUAACUUUGGAGUAAGAUAUAUCUACACUAGGCUUAAAGUAUUGUGCUUGGAAGGAAAUCGGCCAAGGUACCAAAAGUGAAAUAUGAAGUAUGUGUUGCUUGUAUGUGCACGGGGAUAAACAAAUCUGAGUUUUAUUAAUAUGUAAUUUAAAUGAAAUAUUCUUGUCAUUGUAUAAAUA